UACGUAAGGGGCAAGCGUUGUCCGGAAUCACUGGGCGUAAAGCGCACGUAGGCGGUUUGCCAAGUUGGGGGUGUAAGCUCUAGGCCUAACCUAGAAAUUGCCUCCAAAACUAGCAUACUUGAGUAUUAGAGGGGAAGCUGGAAUUCACGGUGUAGCGGUGAAAUGCGUAGAUAUCGGGAAGAACAUCGGUGGCGAAAGCGCUCUACUGGACCGCAACUGACACUCAGGGACGAAAGCUAGGGGAGCGAAUGGG
rnacentral:rRNA from 1 species